GCCGGGCCUCGCCUUGCGCCCUCGAGCGUCCCAGCGGCCCCCGGUGCCUCUCGGCGGCGUGAGGGCUUCGGCUGCCUCGCCUGCCGCCGGAUUCCCCUUCGCCAAAGGAACCGUUCGCUCUCCUCUGGCUGGGGCGCCCCCUCCCGGCAGACUCGCUGGCCAAAGGAAGGUGAAGGCGCGCAGAGGCGCUCCGCGGCGGCGGCGAGCCCCCUUCCUUAGUCCGGCGCCCUCGGCUAGAUGCUGGGCCUCAGAGCCAGGAGCCUCCAGCGAGAAUGCCCCGGGGGUGGCGGGAGAAGCUUGCUACUUUGCGCACGCGGCGGCGGGGCCAGCCAGUUUCACUCCGAGCUGGGGAAGGCAGGAACGGAAAAGCGGAGCGGGUUCCAGAAGGGACGGAUACACCUGGGAGGCCGAGGGGAGGUGCACACGCACGCAUCCGCACAGGGAGGAAAAUCUGGAGCGGAACCGAGGAGGGGGGAUUCAGAGGAGAAGGAGAGAUCUUGAGGAGAUCCGGCCGGGAAUGGCGCGGCGGGGAGGGGAGGAAGCCCGGAGAACAGGGCAAAGAGAUGGGGGAGCGGAGGGAAGGUCCGCUGCAGGGAUGAGGAGGGAUAAGCCCAGCCAGGCCAAAAACGCGGCACUGGAGAGUUUCUAGAGCUACUCUACAGAGGACGGUCCUCAAUUCUGAAGGGCUGUCAGGCGAAGGCCCUCUGAGCGGUCCUGUCCAAAUCUGGUUUAGAGCUAGAGGGAGAGUAUCAGGGAGGGACUUGAUGCUGCCCAAGCACAGCGAACAUCUGAACAGCAGACUGAACAGCCACACACAGGCCAUGGCCUUCCCCCACAAUGGAGGAUGAGAUACAAAUGUUUGAAUAAAACGAUAUGGAAAAAAUUGCAAGGCUUUGCAGAAGAGUAUAUAGUUCAGGUCUGAAGCAUCGAGAGCUCCUGGCUGCCCUGGCCAGGUUGUGGCAUGCAUUGCCCAUACCUGCCUCCCAUCCUUCUCAAUCACUUCUCAAUCAGUGUUUUGAUACCGCCCUCUGUUCUCCAGAAGUGCAAUAUAAGAACAGUCUGCUUUCAUCCUCGGUGAUCCAUUAGUAGUGGAUGCCCCAUGCACAUCACAGACCAGCAGUUAGGAAGAGGAGAAGAAGAAGAAGAGUUUGGAUUUGAUAUCCUGCUUUAUCACUACCCUACGGA